rnacentral:tRNA from 2 species
GCCGGUGUAGCUCAGUGGUAGAGCACUCGAUUCGUAAUCGAGCGGUCGUGCGUUCAAAUCGCAUCACCGGCU